rnacentral:rRNA from 1 species
GACGAACGCUGGCGGCGUGCCUAAUACAUGCAAGUCGAGCGAAUCUUCUGGGAGCUUGCUCCCUUAAGAUUAGCGGCGGACGGGUGAGUAACACGUGGGUAACCUGCCUGUAAGACUGGGAUAACUUCGGGAAACCGGAGCUAAUACCGGAUAGGUUCUUUUCUCGCAUGAGGGAAGAUGGAAAGAUGGUUCUGCUAUCACUUACAGAUGGACCCGCGGCGCAUUAGCUAGUUGGUGAGGUAACGGCUCACCAAGGCGACGGUGCGUAGCCGACAUGAGAGGGUGAUCGGCGACACUGGGACUGGGACACGGCCCAGACUCCUACGGGAGGCAGCAGUAGGGAAGCUUCCGCAAUGGACGAAAGUCUGACGGAGCAACGCCGCGUGAGCGAAGAAGGCCUUCGGGUCGUAAAGCUCUGUUGUUAGGGAAGAACAAGUACGAGAGUAACUGCUCGUACCUUGACGGUACCUAACCAGAAAGCCACGGCUAACUACGUGCCAGCAGCCGCGGUAA